rnacentral:lncRNA from 1 species
CGGGUAUAAAAACAAUAAGGUACAGAUACAUAUACCAACUGAGUACCGGGUAUAAAAGUUGUGUCGCUUAAGAAAUUGAAAUUGAAAUUGAACAGCCAAAGGGGACUGCAGUUCCGCAGACGUCACAGAGCGGCCGCUUCAGUUGCAUGGAAUUAAUUGUACUGCCUUAUUGAUUUGGUUUUUGUUUUAGUCGCUCCUGAUACUACACUUGAAUGUCCAUCGACUUGAUAUUAUUUCAGGUGUUGGAUUGAUAGAGUAGCUGUCGCUAAUGAGUGCACAAUAACAUGAAGAGACGAUGCCACUGGGCAACGGACUGGACGGCUAAAAUCAACAAGUAAAAUGGAUCGGUUUCCGAGAUAAAUUUUAUCAUGGGAUAGGAAAUGGAGCGGGAUAUCGCUGUUCAAGCAAUUGAUUGUACUUGAUGACAACUAAUUGUGCAAUAAGCACUUCGUAACUUGUUCUUUUAAUUCGAUUGGAC